rnacentral:rRNA from 1 species
UACGGGGGGAGCAAGCGUUGUUCGGAUUUACUGGGCGUAAAGGGCGCGUAGGCGGCCACCGCAAGUCGACUGUGAAAUCUCCGGGCUUAACCCGGAAAGGUCAGCCGAUACUGCGGGGCUAGAGUGCAGAAGGGGCAACUGGAAUUCUCGGUGUAGCGGUGAAAUGCGUAGAUAUCGAGAGGAACGCCAAUGGUGAAGACAGGUGACUGGGCUAGUUCUGACACUGAGGCACGAAAGCGUGGGGAGCGAACGGG